GUCAUCCUAUUUUCCAGUCGAUUGAAUGUCAAUUUUCAAAACUUUCUGACGCUGUGUUUUCGUUAAUUUUUGUUGUUAUAAACUUUUGUGCUGUAUGUGGUAAAUUUAGUAUAUCCAGAAUUAUGGAUGAAACAUACUCAGAGAGUGAUGUUUCGCUGUCACCUUCGCAAAUAUUGGAACGUUUGCAAGUCCUACGACAGUUGCAACUACUACAGCGCGGGAAGCUACAAAAACAACGGCUGGAGUAUAAAGAAACCUCUGAAACUUCAUCAAGUAUCACGGAAAUUGUUAGCCAUUUUAGUAACAGCACUAGCUAUAACACAUUUCGUAGUUUGUUACAGUCGUCAAAUGACAUUUCGAAUGAGGGUACGCCGCGUCUCAAUACCAGCGAUCUGUCGCGUAAGGUGCAUGAGCGAGACCUAAUAGAAGGUGUUACAGUGCUGAAUCUAUCUCAGGAGUCAGAGUUUAUAAUCAAUUCUCCCCUAUCAGGCAGAAGCAGGGCUUCCGCACCGUCUAGAAACCAUGAAGCGAUUCAGGAAGUUAAUGAAGUGUCCACUUCAGAAGUCUCUCAAAGCAGUAGUAACAAGACAUCCACCAAUUCGUCGGUAAACAAGAAUUCUUCCAUUAAAAAACAAAUAGCCCUUGAUGAAAUGCCAAUUCUCUCUCCUAAACAAGAUUUUGAAGCAUUGCUGUUAGAGAAACUUCAGACUGAAAAGAAUGUUCCUAAGCCAAAGAGCCCACAAAGUACUAACUCCAUGCCCACUAAUAAAAGACCAUUUCUCAGACGAGGUGAAGGCAUUGCCCGUAUCGGACUUAGGAAGAAUGACUUUGUAAUUCAAAACACAAAUUCCUUGCCAUGGAAGAGAAAAUCUUUUCAGAAUAAAACUGAAUCUCCUUUAAAAUUAAACUUACAAAAACUCAAGGAAAAAAAUAAUGAUGUUCAGAAAGAAACCCGUGAUGAUAAUAUCCAAAGAAGUAAUAAAACUGACAAUCAAAUUAAAUCAAUUGCGGACAUGACUGAACCCUCAUUGCUAGUUCCUGAUAUAAAGCAAGUAAAAUUAACUAGAAAGAAUCAAUCCCAAUCCAGAUUAUCUGAUAAAAAUGAUGAACAGCUCGAAAUCAGGAAUACCACAGAAAGAAAACAGGUAGUAGAACCUCCCAGCUCAUCUAGUAAUAACAAUCAACCUAUAAUUAAACCAGUAGAAAAGAUAGAUAUUUCAAAAAGUAAACAUCCUCUUGUAACUAACAAAGGUAAAUCUUGGGCCGCUGUACUCACUAAAGAGCAAAAUGAUUUCCUUACUCAACUCAAGCAAAGUGACUACUACAAAAACUUUGCAUCACCUACAAAAAGUGAGAUUUCAGACAUAAGUUGUGAUGAAACAGGAGCAAGACUGAGGUUUGACAGAGAAACUGCAGAACAGAAUAUGUUUGAACUGCUAGAAAAUAAAGUCACUCAUGAAAGCUUCAAUUUGGAAAACUCAUUCUUCAACCGCUUUCUACGGAGUAACUUAGAAUGCUCUGGAGAAAGUACUCCACUAGUACUUCAAAGGUGUUUGUCACAAAAUCCUGAUUUGAGGCACAUUUUACCUGGAUACAAAUGUAAAACAAGAAAUGAGAACUCUCACAGUGAUGUUGAAACAUGUUGUAGUAAUUAUACUGAUUGCUGCAGCGAUGCCUGCUCCUCAGUAUCAUGUUGUUCUUGCAAAACUGUUGAAGAAACCCAAGAUUCUCCACAAAUACGUAACAAUAACAAAGAAAGACAAGAAAAGAAGACAAAGAGUAUGGAUCCAAAAACUAAAACAGUCAAAAUAAAAGAAAAAGAGGUUGAUAGCAAAGAAUGCCAUGAUGACACAAUGACAGAAGCUGAUGUUGUGAAAGCUAACAUGGCAGAAAUGAAUGCCAAGCUAAUAUCCACAAGUGAACUGUUAAAAGAUAGACUGCGUGAAUUAGAAGAUGAAAUAGAAACAUUUAGAAAAGAAAAUGCGAGUUUGGCGAAAUUACGCGAAGAGGUUGAUCAAGACAGACAGAAGUUUUAUGAGGAAAAAGCAGCUUUUGAACAGAAGUUUAAUGAAGAAAAAGUCUUAUCUGAGUAUUAUCUAGCAGAAGAAAAAGAGAAACUAAAUAAACAGAAACAAAUGUAUGAAAGAUAUGUGAGGGAAAUGAGAGGCAGGCUGAAUAAAAAAGACAAAGAUGAAGUUGUUAAUUUGAAGAAGGAAAUUAGUGACCUUAAAGAAGAAAUAAGAGUAAAAGACGCAAAGUCAACCUCCACGAUAGCCAGACUUCGAAACCAAAUCAAAAUUAUGGAAAAAGAAAGAAAGGAUCUACAGGAAGAGGUGGAAAAACUGAAAAAGCAAAAUAGACGAAUUCAACACAGCAAUGAAGUUACAAGAAGAUUGACAAAUAUAAAAUAUCUUGAAGAGAUCAAUAAAAAGUUAACAAAUAUGUCGAAUAAAGAAUCGCGCUCGGAAGUUAGCGUAGACCGCGACGUAAAAUAUAAAGCCUAUGAGAUCGAGAGACAAAGCAGACUUAGAAAAGUUGAACCAGUUGCAAAGGGCACCAUGAGACCUAGAGCUAAAAGUGUUCCUAAUUUUAAUGUCACAUCUAGGUAUGCUAAGUACUUUAGCCAAAGGGACACUGUCAGCCAAACGGAAAGAGACAAACUAAUGAGUGUGCAUAGGUUUGAUAAUUCUGAUGAAGAUAAUUUAGGACAGGACAGCGAAAUUCUUUCAGAUGAAUCUCUUGAAGAAGAUGAAGACAGAAAUGAUGACGAAAAUAAUUUAGAAAAGAUUUACAUUGAAAGAUUCAGGGGCUCAUCACCCAAAAGCAAUAGGUCUAGUGGUUCAAGCUACAACUUCGAUCUUAAGCUCAAUGAUAAACCAAUUGUUAAUGAUAAUGCAAAAGACUUCUUUAUCCAAAAGUCCAGCUCAGGAUCAUCAAGAAAUUCUAAAUCUCCAAGAAUAACAAUAUCACCUUGCUCCAACAAAAGUGAACCUAAUGUUAAUAGAUCCAGGUCUCCAGUUAUAAGGAGAUCUAAGUCCCCAGUUUCUAUACUAAGUAACAGAUCCAAUGCUAAUAAGUCGCCUCCAUCACGAAACUCUGUAGAAUAUAUCUCAAAUCAUUCAGGAUCAAACAUUUCACAAAAUAGGUCGAAAUCACCUGUAUCUUCGUUCAACCAUUCCUCUCUGAAAUCGGUGACAGUCAUACACAAUGAACAGUACAGAGACAAACUGAUGAACUUCAGCCCAGAACCUUCUAUAAGUAAGACAAGCUUAACAAAAAGUAGUCUCAAUCCUACAGAGGUCAGGAAGCCGGAUGGUUCCAGAGAAUUGAGGUUCCCUAACGGCAAUGUUAAGUAUAUAUCAUCAGAUGGAAAAUAUAGCAAGUUUGUGUACUACAACGGAGAUGUGAAGGAGAACUUUUAUAAUGAGGGUAGAAUAAAGUACUUCUAUGCCGAGACCAAGACAUAUCAUACCACUCACGCUGAUGGAUUGGAAGUUCUGGAGUUUCCCGAUGGUCAAGUAGAAAAACGCUACAAGGACGGUUCAUCGGAGAUUCGGCUCCCAAACGGCAGCGUCCGGUACUUCGACCCGAAGAAUGAGCACGUUCGUGAAGAGUGGCGGUUCCCGGAUGGCGCGGCGUUGACCGUGGCCGCCAGUGGCGAGCAGCGCAUUGUGUUUGCAAAUGGACAAGUUGAAGUGCAUGCUAAGGAUCAUAAGCGCCGUGAAUUCCCCGAUGGCACAGUAAAGCUAGUUUACAACGACGGAACGUCCGAGACAAGGUACGCGUCAGGACGCGUGCGCAUCAAGGACAAACAUGGCAACCUUAUCAUGGACUCUGCGCCCGGAUGAAGUUAGGAAUUGCAUAAACGCAUACCAUGUACGACCCACUUCACUCACGGAAGACCCACGUGGCCGAUCCUCGAUCGACCCACCAAGCAAUUCGUGAGGGUUGUAGUUAAAAACGAGAAUCCUCACAUGCGUCU
rnacentral:misc_RNA from 1 species